rnacentral:rRNA from 1 species
UACGUAGGGUGCGAGCGUUAAUCGGAAUUACUGGGCGUAAAGCGUGCGCAGGCGGUUCUCCAAGUCCGUUGUGAAAGCCCCGGGCUCAACCUGGGAAUGGCAGUGGAAACUAGGGGACUGGAAUCUGGCAGAGGGGGGUGGAAUGCCGCGUGUAGCAGUGAAAUGCGUAGAUAUCGGGAGGAACACCAGUGGCGAAGGCGACUACCUGGCCUGUUCUUGACGCUGAGGCGCGAAAGCUAGGGGAGCAAACGGG